rnacentral:snoRNA from 1 species
CCCGUCUCAGGGUCACACCUGGAGAGUUUCCAGUCCUCUACCAGUUUUGGCUACGGGAGGGAGAGUCAAGCAGAGGCCUACCCAUUCCAUUCCUGGCUUGGGCAGCGGCUAGUGAGUGGAAGGCCAUCUGCUACAAGU